rnacentral:rRNA from 1 species
UGAAUACGAGAUGCUACGGCGUCGAAGCAGUGUAUGUCAGACUUCCAAGAAAAGCUCGCAAUGUCAUAAAUAAAUAAUGCCUGUACCAUAACCGACACAGGUGGGUAGGUAGAGUAUACUAAGGGGCGCGAGAUAACUCUCUCUAAGGAACUCGGCAAAAUAACUCCGUAACUUCGGGAGAAGGAGUGCCUUAUUUAUAAGGUUGCAAUAACAAGAUCCAAGCAACUGUUUAUCAAAAACACAGGUCUCCGCUAAGUCGUAAGACGAUGUAUGGGGGCUGACGCCUGCCCAGUGCCAGAAGGUUAAAGAAGUUGGUUAGCAUUGCGAAGCUGAUGACUGAAGCCCUGGUGAACGGCGGCCGUAACAAUAACGGUCCUAAGGUAGCGAAAUUCCUUGUCGGGUAAGUUCCGACCCGCACGAAAGGCGUAAUGAUUUGGAUACUGUCUCGGAGAGGGACUCGGUGAAAUAGACUUGUCUGUGAAGAUGCGGACUACCUGCACCAGGACAGAAAGACCCUAUGAAGCUUUACUGUAACUUGAAAUUGAAAUUGGACUUUAUUUGCGCAGUAUAGGUGGGAGGCGUUGAAAAUAAUCUCGCGGGAUUAUUGGAGCCAUCAGUGAGAUACCACUCCUAUAAUGUUAGAUUUCUAACUUUGUAUCAUUAUCUGGUCAAAGAACAGUUUCAGGCGGGCAGUUUGACUGGGGCGGUCGCCUCCUAAAUGGUAACGGAGGCGUACAAAGGUUUCCUCUGAACGGGUAGAAAUCGUAUCUAGAGUAUAAAGGCAUAAGGAAGCUUGACUGUGAGACCUACAAGUCGAGCAGGGACGAAAGUCGGUCUUAGUGAUCUGACGGUGCUGAGUGGAAAGGCCGUCACUCAACGGAUAAAAGUUACUCUAGGAUAACAGGCUGAUCUCCCCCAAGAGUUCACAUCGACGGGGAGGUUUGGCACCUCGAUGUCGGCUCAUCGCAUCCUGGGGCGGUAGUACGUCCCAAGGGUUGGGCUGUUCGCCCAUGAAAGCGGUACGCGAGCUGGGUUCAGAACGUCGUGAGACAGUUCGGUCCAUAUCCGGUGUAGGCGUUAGAAUAUUGAGAGGAGCCUUCUUUAGUACGAGAGGACCGAGAAGGACAUACCUCUGGUGUACCAGUUAUCGUGCCAACGGUAAACGCUGGGUAGCUAUGUAUGGAGUGGAUAACCGCUGAAAGCAUCUAAGUGGGAAGCCCACCUCAAGAUGAG